GACGAACGCUGGCGGCGUGCUUAACACAUGCAAGUCGAACGCUGAAGCUCAGCUUUUGUUGGGUGGAUGAGCGGCGAACGGGUGAGUAACACGUGAGUAACCUGCCCCCUUCUUUGGGAUAACGCCCGGAAACGGGUGCUAAUACUGGAUAUUCACUGGUCUUCGCAUGGGGGUUGGUGGAAAGGGUUUUUCUGGUGGGGGAUGGGCUCGCGGCCUAUCAGCUUGUUGGGGGGGUGAUGGCCUACCAAGGCUUUGACGGGUAGCCGGCCUGGGAGGGUGACCGGUCACAUUGGGACUGAGAUUCGGCCCAGACUCCUACGGGGGGCAGCAGUGGGGAAUAUUGCGCAAUGGGCGCAAGCCUGAUGCAGCGACGCCGCGUGAGGGAUGGAGGCCUUCGGGUUGUGAACCUCUUUCGCUCAUGGUCAAGCCGCAACAAUGGUUGUGGUGAGGGUAGUGGGUAAAGAAGCGCCGGCUAACUACGUG
rnacentral:rRNA from 1 species